CCUACGGGAUGCAGCAGUAGGGAAUCUUUCACAAUGGGCGAAAGCCUGAUGGAGCAACGCCGCGUGCAGGAUGAAGGCCUUCGGGUUGUAAACUGCUUUUAUAAGCGAGAAAUAUGAUGGUAACUUAUGAAUAAGGAUCGGCUAACUACGUGCCAGCAGCCGCGGUCAUACGUAGGAUCCGAGCAUUAUCCGGAGUGACUGGGUGUAAAGAGUUGCGUAGGUGGCAUAAUAAGUAGCUAGUGAAAUCUGGUGGCUCAACCAUUCAGACUAUUAGCUAAACUGUUAAGCUCGAGACCGUUAGGGGUAACUGGAAGUUCUAGUGUAGGAGUGAAAUCCGUAGAUAUUAGAAGGAACACCAAUAGCGUAGGCAGGUUGCUGGGACGGUUCUGACACUAAGGCACGAAAGCGUAGGGAGCAAACGGGAUUAGAUACCCCAGUAGUC
rnacentral:rRNA from 1 species